AGGGGCCAGUGGUGUGCCCAGCACUGGCCUCCCUCCUGGCAAGGUAAACCGAUACUACGUGACUUGACAUUCUUAGAAUUCUUUCCCAUCGUGGUUGCAAUUCACUUAUGGGAAGACCAGUUCAAGAACCAUAGGGUCUGUUUUUGGACGGACAAUCUAGCGGUCGUGUCAGUUUUGAAUAAACAAUCGUCACGCUCACCCAGAGUAGCGUCCCUUUUACGGUACUUCGUCCUCUCCUGCCUGCGAUUGAACCUUCACGCUUCAGCCAAGUUCGUCCCUGGUAUUGAUAAUAACAUCGCGGAUGCUCUAUCUCGUUUCCAGAUGGAACGCUUUCGCUCAUUGGCGCCGGAUGCGCAGCAGCAGCCGCAACCAUUCCCGGAGCACCUCUGGAAUAUUGGCAACGAGAAGCAAUAAAGGGAGUAUUGUCUGCGCUAGCGCCUUCUACCCUGAGAUCGUAUAAUAAGGCGUGGCUAGACUUCACAUCCUUCCGCAUCAAAAAGGGGCGGUCCAAGCCAGGCAGGCCACCGUCCAAGUCUGAAGUCAUAGAGUACAUGGUCCACCUUAGAGAUCUUGGCCGGGCCCCCAAAACCCUCAAUAUUCAUUCAGCAGCUAUAUCCUUCUUUUCUAAAACUUUAUUUUCUGUGGAUCCCUGUUCGCAUUUCGUUGUGCGUAAGAUGCUUGAGGGCUGGCGCAGGUCCAGGCCUCACGGCCGGGACAGGAGAAGGCCAAUAACUUUAGAUAUACUCACCCAAAUCCGUAGGAAGCUGAGGGCCCUGUGUUGGUCAAGAUAUGAAGCCAGGUUAUUUUCAGCAGCGUUUUCUUUCGCAUUUUUUGGCGCCCUACGCAUAGGCGAAGUGGUUUGUGAGGACCGCGCAGCGUCCAGGGGGCUACUACUUGAGGACGUAACUGUAGACAGGGCGCAUGUAAUGUUAAGAAUCCGUAGUUCGAAGACUGAUCAGCUUGGCAAGGGAGCCUUGGUUCGCCUCCAGGCGACUCAAAAGGCGGGCCCUUGCCCUGUAAAGGAUGCUAGAAAAUACCUGUGUGUAAGACCAGAACCUAGUGGCCCCUUUUUCUUGCAUUCCGACGGUUCCUCCCUCUCAAAGCAGCAGUUCACGAGGGUCAUGCGCAAAGCAAUUGCCGCCAUCGGGCUUCCCCAAGAGGAGUACGCCGCGCACUCCUUUCGCAUUGGGGCGGCGACCACCGCCGCCCAUAUGGGCUUACCGGCUGAAAGAAUUAUGGACAUGGGGCGCUGGAAAUCCAACGCAUUCCAGGGUUAUAUUCGGUAGACCUUCUAAAUUCCCCUCAGCUUUCCCCCCGGGCACUCCUCCUGAUCCGGUUCUCCGAUUCUCUCUUUUCAGGUACUGGUGUGGUUCGACUGUGGAUCCUUGGCCACAGCAUCGUAUAUUGGGCAAAGCGGCGCGCCGAACAAAGGGGCUGGGUUGAAGAGCUACGGCUACCCAGCUGGGUCAAACUAUCGUGGAUCUCUAGGAGGGGUAUGCGUUGGGAAGAGUUUUUCCCAGUUGUAUCCACAAAAAUCGCUGCCGAGGGCCCACCCAGUGCCUUGGUCAUCCAGCUGGGCGAGAACGAUUUGGCGUAUAGGAAAGGGGUGAACUUGAUGUGGAACAUCAUCAACGACUUGGAAUUGUUGAGGGCAUCCCAUGAAAACAUUACAAUAAUUUGGUCAUCUUUGCUGGAAAGGCGAUGUUGGCGGGAUGCAGAGAAACCCGUGGCUGUGAAUAAAGCUAGAAGGAUUGUGGAGCGCAUGGUGGCACGUAGAGUGGCCGCAUGGGGUGGUCGGGUCAUUCAGCACCCACGCAUACGGUUUGACAAGGAAAUGCUCUAUCGCUGGGAUGGCGUGCAUCUAUCUGAUGCGGGAAAUGAUAUUUGGUUGGCUGAUAUUUUUCAAGGUGUUAGGGAUUGGUUACAGGUCUGAGGGUAUUGGCGGCGAGCCGGCUUGCGGCUCGGUGGCGGUAGGCAUUGGCCGGGGUAUUGUCAUGCAGAUGAGGUUGGGGGGGAGGAACGCCAUCACCUCCCCCAAUGCUUGAAGGGUAGUUCGUUAAAGGACUCCGAGGGGCGACGCCUCGUCCGAAACCUACGGAGGCUAGGGCCUAAAGCGCGCCCCCGAGCGGUAACCCCUCGGGGAGCGCCUAGGGAUACGCAUCUCGGGUGGCUCCCCCUGUUGGUGUUUAACCCUUCCCGGUCAGACCGGAUAGUCGGUUAGGGGCCAAUGCCUAAAGCCAAUACCCUUCAUUUCCUGUAAUCAAUAAAGUUGUGGCCAUUUUCGCCCAUUAACCUAAAACGCUGUGUCCGUUGUCUUUAUUUAUUCCACCUGUGGGGGGGGAGGGCUAGCCACACAAUGCCCCUUCCGAUCGUCAGGAGGAGGGGGGGUUGUGGGAUCACGACCCCGCCCACUCUCGCUCUCCCGAGGCUGGCGCCAGCCUCGCGGGAGGCAGAGAUUCCCCAAUUAGCAUCCCCUGUGGCGCCAGCCAAUUGGCUGGCGGCAGGGGCGGGCCUUAGAAAGGCCACUUAAGGUCGGGGAAGCCCUGGCUUGCCCCUUUUCACCCUGGAGACGACGCGGUUUCCCACCCACCCGCCCUUUAGGUUUUGCCACUGACAUUGCUAUGGGCUUCGGCUGGUCGCCGCAAGGGGCCUGGUAGGAGUUUUUCCAUUUGGCUAAUUGGCUGGUUUUGUGAGCCACUUGGUUUUUUCGCCUACCUCGUAGCAAAUCGUCACAACUCCCUCGGUUUUGGCGGUAGGCAUUGGCCGGGGUAUUGUCAUGCAGAUGAGGUUGGGGGGGAGGAACGCCAUCACCUCCCCCAAUGCUUGAAGGGUAGUUCGUUAAAGGACUCCGAGGGGCGACGCCUCGUCCGAAACCUACGGAGGCUAGGGCCUAAAGCGCGCCCCCGAGCGGUAACCCCUCGGGGAGCGCCUAGGGAUACGCAUCUCGGGUGGCUCCCCCUGUUGGUGUUUAACCCUUCCCGGUCAGACCGGAUAGUCGGUUAGGGGCCAAUGCCUAAAGCCAAUACCCUUCAUUUCCUGUAAUCAAUAAAGUUGUGGCCAUUUUCGCCCAUUAACCUAAAACGCUGUGUCCGUUGUCUUUAUUUAUUCCACCUGUGGAG
rnacentral:lncRNA from 1 species